AUCGGGAUGUGUCAUGAUGGGUGUAUCAGGAUCGGUUGUAAUUUUCCCCAAUGAAAUGGGCUUGCCAGCUAUAUUCGACUCCAAACCUUGCAGUUACCCUCCUCCCCGUGAAAAGUGUGCCGGACCAUAUUGUACAAAUCCAUACAAGUACCGGGAUUCGCAGUCGAAGCUCCCUCUGUGCAGUCUCCAGUGUUACAAGGCAAUACAUGAAAAGAUGGCUCCUCUUUCUGCCUGUUGAUUCGCGGAAACUGGCGUUGCAGGAUAGUCCUACAGCACUUAUUAAUUUAGUUCAAUAGCUGGUGAUGUACUACUGUAUAUGUAGAUGAAACUUAUAUGCACAAACCGUACAUAAAACAGCCCGCCCUUUCUAUACAAAGUUGUAAGGUUCCAUGUUUGCUCGCCACCACAAACCGUGUCUCUGGUCAAGUUUUCCUCGUAUACAAUUUUUGUCGCAUGGUGGGAUAUGCUAUGCUGUGUUUGGUUCCUGAGAAAAUUCUUCUAGGAAAGUGUUGAUGCAGCUGAUAACCGCACCACUUUCAAUUGAAAAGAAAAAUCCAGUCAUUUAUGCCGCUGUCAAAGGAUUCUGUGAAGACUAGAUUCAAUAGCUGCGGUUAGGCCUCUAGACUUUUCCUACUGUCAAGCUACUAAAGGCACCCUCUCAUAAUAAUUUCCAAAAUCCCGUUCACAGUUUUCAUAUGUAGGCAAGCCAUGUGCUUGUGUAAUAGCUCUUACAGGGUAUUUUCUCACGAAUGACCUGAAGCAUAUGUGUACUUUCAUCUUGUUCUUUAGAUUUCAGGAAGCUAAGGAUGACCGCACAGAGGCCUUGGAUUUGGAUGAUCGUUAUAUAAAAGCAUACUCACGACGUGCAACGGCUAGAAAAGAACUUGGAAAGCUUAAAGAAUCAUUCGAGGAUGCUGAGUUUGCCCUGAGGUUGGAGCCUCACAACCAAGAAAUCAAGAAACAGUACACGGAGGCCAAAUCUUUGUAUGACAAAUCAAAUCUUCAGAACGUAUCUGGAGCGCUGAAAAAUUCUGUACAAGAAAUGCAGAAAAGGGGAAAGUCGGAUACCAACGUAAAUGGAAACGGCAUCCAGCCUGUCUGAAGCAGUACUCAAAUUACAGAAAUAAGUGCAGUUCAAGAUCACACUAAGGGAAAUACCACAAAUAAGAAGCAAGAGAUGAAGGCAUCGGUACAAGAGCUUGCUUCUCGAGCUGCUUCCAAAGCCAAGGUUGUAGCUGUGGAGAAAAACAUCACACCACCAACUACUGCAUAUCAAUUUGAGGUUUCUUGGCGAGGCCUCACUGGAGAUAGUGCUCUGCGAGGCCUCACUAUUGAAAGUCUGAAAAUGUAUUCUUGUGUUUUACUAUCAUAAAUAUAGACGUCCAAAAUGCAAGAUUCAUGUGUUCUUUCUAUCGUCUCAAAGUGGGUGACCUUUAGUGUGCUUGUUUUGCAUGACGGUCAUCCAUUUCGUUGACCACUGCCAUCCCAAGAGGUUCCCAUUUGAAUCCAUUUAUAUGAACAAGUUCACAUGUCCAUCAAGGAGUAAGAAAAUUGUAUGUAUAGUUGGUAAUUGCUUAGGCAGUCAUAACUAAUUCUGACUUUCCAUACCGGUUUCAUGUUAGUUUUGCUGGUUUUCCAUGCAGUCUAUAUCUGCUACUGCAUUGCUGCAGAUUUUCAAAAAUGCUUCGACUGUUCCCGUACUAAUUGACAUUAUCAAAUGCGUGGCGACCUUUUUAGUUGAAGAAAUGGAUUUGGCCGUCAAUUUUUUGGAAAAGUUAACCAAGACCUUGAUAAGAUAUGGGAUGAAGUAUUCUACAACGAGGCAACUUCAAUCGCAUAGGCAUGGAAGCUUGAUAAGUUGCGUGCAAAGUACUGCCUUGAGUGAUGAAAACAAAUCAAAAUUUUACCUUCCGUCGACCUCCACGGUAGUUUUUCUAUUCCGGUCAAAGCCUUUGCUGUAAAUUGAAUUUGUAAAGUGAAAGCUUUUUAGGGUGGAACUUGGAACUGUUGGGAAGAAGAUUGUUGCUGUUUCAUAUGACCCUGAAAAAUACGUGCAUUUGUGAGCGUCUAUGUUAGGUAGGGUGGACCUUACCGUACUCUAUUGUUCAGUCGCA